CCUGGUCCAUAUUGCAAUGCAUUAGUAAGACAAAAAGUAUUUUCUUGAAAUAUUGGUCCAUAGGGAGUUAACACGACGGCGUUCAACCAAUCAUAUCGUCAUAAUUUAUCCAAGGUGUAAUGAUGUAUGGAAGGAACUGAGCUUUUGCGUUUGGGUUUAAAUAUUUUCUUCAACAUUGAUUUGGAGGUUGAAAUUGUUCAUUUUAGUUCGAAUUGAAGAUUUCAUGAAUCUGAUUUCUAGAUCAGAAUUUAUGAUUAAUAAGUAGGACAAACUAAAAGAGCUAUGUCAACGCAAUAAUAACCAUUCCCUACCAUCUGUUUGGUGAUAAAAAUAGAAUACAUCCAUCUGUAGUUGCCAUUUAUUUUUAUAACUUCUUUUUUGCAACACAUUUAUCUCAUUGGUCUUUGUGUUCACUGUUUUGCUAAAUUAACGACAAUCCAGCAUGGAAAGAUUGAAUGACGUUCGUAAAGAUAGUAUGUAUGUAAAAUUUUAACCUCAAUUAAACAUUUUGUUUCUAUACCACGUUGAAACGUACAAUCGUUAAAAAAUAAAUAUGCUCUUAGAUAUGUUUAUUUUAGAUUUUCAACUACGGUUUAUUAUGAAAUAUAAAUAAAGCAUAUUUUUGAGCAUCAAAACAUGAUCUAAUUAUCGCCAAAUCAUAUAAAAGGGAAAACUAUG
rnacentral:lncRNA from 1 species